rnacentral:rRNA from 1 species
GAGUUUGAUCCUGGCUCAGGAUGAACGCUGGCGGCGUGCCUAACACAUGCAAGUCGAACGAAGCACCUUACCUGAUUCUUCGGAUGAAGGUCUGGUGACUGAGUGGCGGACGGGUGAGUAACGCGUGGGUAACCUGCCCUGUACAGGGGGAUAACAGUUGGAAACGGCUGCUAAUACCGCAUAAGCGCACGAGAGGACAUCCUCUUGUGUGAAAAACUCCGGUGGUACAGGAUGGGCCCGCGUCUGAUUAGCUGGUUGGCGGGGUAACGGCCCACCAAAGCGACGAUCAGUAGCCGACCUGAGAGGGUGACCGGCCACAUUGGGACUGAGACACGGCCCAAACUCCUACGGGAGGCAGCAGUGGGGGAUAUUGCACAAUGGGGGAAACCCUGAUGCAGCGACGCCGCGUGGAGGAAGAAGGUUUUCGGAUUGUAAACUCCUGUCGUUAGGGACGAUAAUGACGGUACCUAACAAGAAAGCACCGGCUAACUACGUGCCAGCCGCCGCGGUAAUAC